CUAGGUCGAGCGUUGUCGGAAUUAUUGGGCGUAAAGGGCUCGUAGGCGGUUUGUCACGUCGGAAGUGAAAACUCAGGGCUCAACCCUGAGCGUGCUUACGAUACGGGCAAACUAGAGGUAUGCAGGGGAGAACGGAAUUCCUGGUGUAGCGGUGGAAUGCGCAGAUAUCAGGAGGAACACCGGUGGCGAAGGCGGUUCUCUGGGCAUUACCUGACGCUGAGGAGCGAAAGCAUGGGGAGCGAACAGGAUUAGAUACCCUGGUAGUCCAUGCCGUAAACGUUGGGCGCUAGGUGUGGGGACCUUCCACGGUCUCCGUGCCGCAGCUAACGCAUUAAGCGCCCCGCCUGGGGAGUACGGCCGCAAGGCUAAAACUCAAAGGAAUUGACGGGGGCCCGCACAAGCGGCGGAGCAUGCUGAUUAAUUCGAUGCAACGCGAAGAACCUUACCUGGGUUUGACAUAUGCCGGAAAGCCGUAGAGAUACGGCCCCCCUUGUGGUCGGUAUACAGGUGGUGCAUGGCUGUCGUCAGCUCGUGUCGUGAGAUGUUGGGUUAAGUCCCGCAACGAGCGCAACCCUCGUCCUAUGUUGCCAGCACGUAAUGGUGGGGACUCAUAGGAGACUGCCGGGGUCAACUCGGAGGAAGGUGGGGAUGACGUCAAGUCUUCAUGCCCCUUAUGUCCAGGGCUUCAAGCAUGCUACAAUGGCCGGUACAAAGGGCUGCGAAACCGCGAGGUGGAGCGAAUCCCAAAAAGCCGGUCUCAGUUCGGAUUGGGGUCUGCAACUCGACCCCAUGAAGUCGGAGUCGCUAGUAAUCGCAGAUCAGCAACGCUGCGGUGAAUACGUUCCCGGGCCUUGUACACACCGCCCGUCACGUCAUGAAAGUCGGCAACACCCGAAGCCGGUGGCCCAACCCUUGUGGAGGGAGCCGUCGAAGGUGGGCGGCGAUGAA
rnacentral:rRNA from 1 species